rnacentral:rRNA from 1 species
GUGGGGAAUAUUGGACAAUGGGCGAAAGCCUGAUCCAGCCAUGCCGCGUGUGUGAAGAAGGUCUUCGGAUUGUAAAGCACUUUAAGUUGGGAGGAAGGGCAGUAAGUUAAUACCUUGCUGUUUUGACGUUACCGACAGAAUAAGCACCGGCUAACUUCGUGCCAGCAGCCGCGGUAAUACGAAGGGUGCAAGCGUUAAUCGGAAUUACUGGGCGUAAAGCGCGCGUAGGUGGUUUUGUAAGUUGGAGGUGAAAUACUCGGGCUCAACCUGAGAACUGCCUCCAAAACUGCAUGACUAGAGUACGGUAGAGGGUAUUGGAAUUUCCUGUGUAGCGGUGAAAUGCGUAGAUAUAGGAAGGAACACCAGUGGCGAAGGCGACUACCUGGACUGAUACUGACACUGAGGUGCGAAAGCGUGGGGAGCAAACAGGAUUAGAAACCCCAGUAGUCC